rnacentral:rRNA from 1 species
AUUGAACGCUGGCGGCAGGCCUAACACACGCAAGUCGAGCGGUAGAGAGGUGCUUGCAUCUCUUGAGAGCGGCGGACGGGUGAGUAAUGCCUAGGAAUCUGCCUAGUGGUGGGGGAUAACGUUCGGAAACGGACGCUAAUACCGCAUACGUCCUACGGGAGAAAGCGGGGGAUCUUCGGACCUCGCGCCAUUAGAUGAGCCUAGGUCGGAUUAGCUAGUUGGUGAGGUAAUGGCUCACCAAGGCGACGAUCCGUAACUGGUCUGAGAGGAUGAUCAGUCACACUGGAACUGAGACACGGUCCAGACUCCUACGGGAGGCAGCAGUGGGGAAU